rnacentral:ncRNA from 2 species
UAUACUUUUAAAGCGCCUGAACUAGCCAUGAGAGGGCUAGUUGACGAGGAGGAGGUUUAUCGAUUUUUCGGCGGAUGCCUCCCGGUUGAGCAAGCACAACCGAAAAUCCUUCUUUAAAGCAUCAAGGCAACUUGGUGGACAAAGAGAGGGAUAUGCUUCUGA